rnacentral:rRNA from 1 species
CAGCAGCCGCGGUAGUACGAAGGGUGCAAGCGUUACUCGGAAUUACUGGGCGUAAAGCGUGCGUAGGUGGUGGUUUAAGUCCGUUGUGAAAGCCCUGGGCUCAACCUGGGAAUUGCAGUGGAUACUGGGUCACUAGAGUGUGGUAGAGGAUAGUGGAAUUUCCGGUGUAGCAGUGAAAUGCGUAGAGAUCGGAAGGAACAUCUGUGGCGAAGGCGACUAUCUGGGCCAACACUGACACUGAGGCACGAAAGCGUGGGGAGCAAACAGGAUUAGAUACCCCCGUAGUCCCUGUCUCUUAUAC